UACAGAGCAGAGGAUAAUCUGGAAUGUAUGACCCCGCCCCCUCUUCCCUUUCAGUGCUGAGAUGUAACCUGAGAUGGUCCAGGAGUCUGCAGUGGGCUCAAGUUACAGCACUCAGGAUGAAAGAGGGGCCCUCCUGGCCCCCAUGGACACACAGCGAAAAGACUUCCUGUCAGCAGUAUCAGAGACACAACCUACUUCCACCUCUCUGUCCAUGGGCACCGUGUGCACGCAGUGCCCAGGAAGACCAGAAGAGGGCACUGGAGCCCCUAGAGCUGAUCACAAGCAGCUGCAAGCCACCAUAUUUACUUAUUUUAAUUUACGUUUACGAGUAUAUUCUGC